rnacentral:rRNA from 1 species
CAGUCGCCGCGGUAAUACGAAGGGUGCAAGCGUUACUCGGAAUUACUGGGCGUAAAGCGGGCGCAGACGGUUACUUAAGCAGGAUGUGAAAUCCCCGGGCUCAACCCCGGAACUGCAUCCGAUACUGCCAUGCUAGAGGAUUGGAGAGGUAGCUGGAAUUCUUGGUGUAGCAGUGAAAUGCGUGGAGAUCAAGAGGAACACUCGUGGCGAAAGCGAGCUACUGGACAAUAACUGACGCUGAGGCUCGAAGGCCAGGGUAGCGAAAGGGAUUAGAUACCCGUGUAGUCCCUGUCUCUUAUAC